UCUAUAUCUAGGUCACGUCAAACAUCAACAUUACUGGGCCUUUUUCUGUGAAGUUACAUGUUUGAAAACAAUGCACAAGUUCACAAAUGAUUAUUCUAAUACAAGUUGAUGUAAGUAUCUACUUUGAAAACUUUAUAAAUUUGAGCGCAUCGAAGCAAAUAGCUAAAGCUAUCUGCUAGCAAGGAUUAGCAUAUCCAUAACUAAGAAGAAUAGAGAUCGAUGGGCGUGUCUUCUCUUUACCAUUUUCUGAUGGCUCUUCUAGUUAUCGUUUCCUCUUUUUUCUUGCAGUGCCCCAACGUUAAUGCAGGCAUGACGAUGAGGAAACUGGCUGGAUCUUUGCCAAGAACACCACCUCCACCAAAAGGGUCUCUGCGUAAAGCACCUUUCAAACCACAUCCAGCACGGCCCCCUCCACCACCAAAGUAUAGCUAGACAUUUUAGGGAAUGAUCAACACAAUUAAUAAAGGAUCUAUGUAUUGUCACACGAUCACGUCUCCAUUAUUCUUUCCUCACAUGCAGAGCGAGUAAAUUGCAGAAGCUGGUCUUCAAUUUUACAGGGAAACUUAUGUAACUUCUUUAUUGUAAUAUUCAACACCGUAAUCAUUCUUCUCUAAA